AGUGAACGCUGGCGGUAUGCCUAACACAUGCAAGUCGAACGGCAGCACAGUAAGCUCUUGCUCUUACGGGUGGCGAGUGGCGGACGGGUGAGGAAUACAUCGGAAUCUACUUUUUCGUGGGGGACAACGUAGGGAAACUUACGCUAAUACCUCAUACGACCUACGGGUGAAAGCAGGGGAUCUUCGCACCUUGCGCGAUUGAAUGAGCCGAUGUCGCAUUAGCUAGUUGGCGUGGUAAAGGCCCACCAAGGCAACGAUCCGUAGCUGGUCUGAGAGGAUGAUCAGCCACACUGGAACUGAGACACGGUCCAGACUCCUACGGGAGGCAGCAGUGGGGAAUCUUGGACAAUGGGCGCAAGCCUGAUCCAGCCAUACCGCGUGGGUGAAGAAGGCCUUCGGGUUGUAAAGCCCUUUUGUUGGGAAAGAAAAGCAGCAGGUUAAUACCCCGCUGUUCUGACGGUACCCAAAGAAUAAGCACCGGCUAACUUCGUG
rnacentral:rRNA from 1 species